GUGCUCACUUUGGUAGCACAUAUACUAAAAAUUGGACAGAGAAUAUUAGCAUGGUCCUGUGCAAGGAUGACAUGCAGGUUCAUGAAGUGUUCUAUAUUUUU
rnacentral:snRNA from 1 species